rnacentral:rRNA from 1 species
UACGGAGGGUGCAAGCGUUAUCCGGAUUCACUGGGUUUAAAGGGUGCGUAGGUGGGCAGGUAAGUCCGUGGUGAAAUCCCUGAGCUUAACUCGGGAACUGCCAUGGAUACUAUUUGUCUUGAAUAUUGUGGAGGUAAGCGGAAUAUGUCAUGUAGCGGUGAAAUGCUUAGAUAUGACAUAGAACACCAAUUGCGAAGGCAGCUUACUACACAGUUAUUGACACUGAGGCACGAAAGCGUGGGGGAUCAAAACAGG